rnacentral:lncRNA from 1 species
CAGAAAACAACAGCAGCAGCAGCAGCAGCAAUGCACUGAAUUGCAUUCUACAUUGUGUCAUCCACCAAAUUGCCAGGUUCGCAGUGUCCCAGCCAUCACUAUUUCAAUUUACAAGUAAAAAAAUUAACGUAGGCUUGAACAUUAAGGAACAUUAGUCAUGUGACCUGGGCAACACUUGCACUACUGUUGUUGUUUCCAUGUGUUCUUCUCAGCAUUUUAUAAGUACUAGAAGUCUCCAGGGAUGAGAGAAGUAAAUGGGAAGUCCAGAACUGUGAGUUCUAAUUGGGAUUUUGCUAUUUGAUUUACCACCAUCAAACUGACAGAGAAGAAGCAAAAGAAGCAGAAGAAAAAGAAAAAUGAGGAGGAGGAGGAGGAGAAGAAGAAGGAGAAGACGAAGGAGGAGGAGGAAGGAG